rnacentral:rRNA from 1 species
CACGUAGGGUGCGAGCGUUGUCCGGAAUUAUUGGGCGUAAAGAGCUCGUAGGCGGUGUGUCGCGUCGGCCGUGAAAACCUGCAGCUUAACUGUGGGCUUGCGGUCGAUACGGGCAUCACUGGAGUUCGGCAGGGGAGACUGGAAUUCCUGGUGUAGCGGUGAAAUGCGCAGAUAUCAGGAGGAACACCGGUGGCGAAGGCGGGUCUCUGGACCACAACUGACGCUGAGGCGCGAAAGCUAGGGGAGCAAACAGG